UAUCUGAUAUAGAACUGAUUAAUAAAACAUCAGUACUUUAUCGGAUAUAAAGGCCCAUCAUGUGAUCCAAUAGUUCGAUGCUCAUUGGACUAAUAGCUCAUGCCAUUAUGAAUGAGUUCUAGAAGUACCACAUGCAAUACCGUGAAAUCCCAAGGAGUAUGAAAUUAUUUCAAACUCCUUGCAUUUUGAAAAUAAGCUUCAAGUACUCCAAGCUGUAACCUUCAGUCCCUCGCAAUCAAUGGGACCCAUAGUAAUGAUAACCGGGUCCUAAACAAUCUACUAAGUCAUCUAUGUCAUGAGUUAAUUAUAUUCCUGGUCGGCGCUGUGGUGUUCAAGGUAGACAUAGUAAGUACAUAUAAUGAUAUUUUUCUACAUUAUUAUCAAAAAUAAAUCCUGACUUUAAUCCCGAUGCUUAGUCCUCCAUGGCUGAAACGGAAAACUUGACUCAAAAAAAAGUAAAUAGAAAUAUUAAAAAAGUGAAAGUAAAAAAAUGAACAAAUACUGAGAAACAAUCUGAAGAUAUUUUUAUAUGAUAUAUUGUAUGCAGAUCAAACUGCGACUUUGAUUGUAAGCCUUCCCUGGGGAGGGUCGGGAGAGGGAGAAAGGAGCAGGUGAUCAUGACUGACUCUUAGGAUGAGUAUUUAACAAAGAUACCGAUUUCAAAUCCUGCAAUGAACGUUGAGGCAAUAUUAGUCGAAGCAAAAGCUUUGCCAUUGUGGCCAAACACGUCAUUGUGAAACAUGUCAGUCAAAAAUCGCUAUGAUCUUUAAAGUACAGCUGAAUCAAUAAACGUUCUUCCCCGUAAAACUAACAAAGUGGUUUAACUAUACAAAUAGAUCAAAAGCACAUUGACCGAUGCGCAAGCGACAAUUUCUCUGUACAAAAAGACGAUUGAUGUCUGGUGAAUGCAAUACUUCUUGGUGUACGGGGAUAUUUUUGAUUCGUUCUUUAUGAUAAAUUCAAACGAGCUUACACCAUGAUUAAGAGAUGAGCACUAUAAGAUGAGUUCAGCUGUUUGAAAUCGUCAUCGUACUUGAAUUGUACUGUACUACGCAUGCUCAGUAACGCCGCUUGGUUUACACCACACUUCUAUGGCAUACAACUGGCUACAUCAAACAAUGAAGCAGACCAGGCACUUCCCGGCAGCCAGCUACCAGCGACAGAGAAAAACAACGAUGGAGUCUAUUUAUCGAGUAAUGUUUCUCAUCUCGUUCGGGUUUGGUCUGAUAAGCUGUUCAGAUAUUACAAUCUACAUUGGUGGUUUU